AUGAACUGAUCUUGAAUGGGUGUUUUUGGUUUUUUUUCGUUGCUAUGGUAGAGGCGAAGGGUUAGAGGAGAAAAGUUCUCAAAAGAAUCAAUAAAAGGGUGGUGGAGGAGGAGAUGCAUACGAGACUCCGAUGACGGGUGGCAAAGGCCCUUCAUAUACAGGUGCAGGUGGUGGAGAUGACGGUGGUGGCGGUGAAUUGUAAUGAUAAACAGGUGUUGGAGGUGGCGGUGAUGGUGGUGGUGGUGAAUUAUAUUGAAUUGGGGGAGGUGGUGGUGAUGGUGAUGGUGGCGGAUGGUAAGGUGCAGAGUGUGGUGAUGGUGGUGGUGGUGAAUGCUCUUCACAAGGUGGUGGAGGUGGUGGCGGAGGAGGUGACUCUAUACAAGGUGGUGGAGAUGGGGGUGGCGGUGGUGGUGAAUAAACUGGUGGGGGAGGAGAGUGAACUGGAGGAGGUGGUGGCGGUGAUAAAUAGGGAUAAACUGGUGGUGGUGGUGGUGGUGAAUGUGGUGGUGGCGGUGGCGAAUGAGGUGGAGGUGGCGGUGGAGAGGCGGCGAAUACACUGGUGGUGGAG
rnacentral:lncRNA from 1 species